GGAGCGGCUCGGGGGUUCGCCGGCGGGGCUUCGGCUCCGCGGGAGGAAAGUCCGAGCACCGCAGGGCAGGGUGCCAGGUAACGCCUGGUGGGGGUGACCCCGAGGAAAGUGCCACAGAGAGCAGACUGCCGGGCCGCGCUUCGGCGCCGCCCGGUGAGGGUGAAAGGGUGAGGCAAGAGCUCACCGGGCCGACGGUGACGUCGGUCGCACGGCAAACCCCACCCGGUGCAAGGCGAAAUAGGGAAGCGCUCGAGGGUGGCCCGCCCGAGCUUCCGGGUUGCGUCGCUCGAGGCCGUCGGUGACGGCGGCCCUAGACGAAUGAGCCCCACCCGCGCGCCGGUGACGGUCGCGGGGACAGAACUCGGCUUACGAGCCCUCCGGCC
rnacentral:RNase_P_RNA from 3 species